rnacentral:lncRNA from 1 species
CCCCUAUGGUGAAUGGUUAAAUUCACCGCACUUUUUUCAUGACCAAUCAAAGUGUCAUCGAUAAAUAAUUAAAAAAGACAAUAAAAAUAAGAAAAUAUAAAUAACUGCAAAAAAAACAACACCGACAUUAAUUAACGCCGUCUGCAAAAUUCUAAAAACCUAAACUCUAAAAAAAUAAAUACUAAAUACAAAACACUAAACCAUAAACCCCAAUCUUAAAAUCUAAACCCUAAAUCCAAAUUCAAAACCCUAAAUCCUAAAAUCUAAACCCUAAAGUCUAAAACCAAAACCAUAAACCCUAAAUCCUAAAAUCUAAACCCUAAAUCCUAAAUCCUAAACUCUAAAUCCUAAACUUUAAACCCAAAAAUUCAAACCUUAAACCCUAAACUAUAAAUCCUAAACCCAGACCUCUAAACCGUAAACCCAACUGCUAGUUAAAAAGAUUGAGGUUUACGGUUUAAAGGUUUGGGUUUAGGGUUUAGGAUUUAGAGUUUAGAGUUUAAGAUUUAGAGUUUAGAGUUUAAGAUUCAGAGUUUAGGGUUAGAAUUUAGAGUUUAGGGUUCAAGAUUUAGGGUUUAAAUUUUAGGAUUUAGGGUUUAUAUUUAGAGUUUGGGUUUAGAGAUUAAGAUUUAUAUUUUAGGAUUGGGGUUUAUGGUUUAGUGUUUUAGAUUUAGGGUUUAUAGUUUUAGAGUUUAGGUUUUUAGAAUUUAGAAUUUCGCAGACGGCGUUAAUUAAUGUCGGUGUUAUUUUUUUCAACUAAAUUAAUUUUUUUUAUUUUUAUUGUUUUUUUUAAUCAUUCCUACAUGGCUCUUUCAUUAGUUAUGAAAAGUGUGAUGAAUUUAACGAUUCAGUAUAAGGGUGAACCUAAGUAUUGUUAAAAAAAAUCAUAUUAUGUUACAUAAAUAGUAUCAGAAAAACGAAUGAUAUCAAUUUGAGGCUAUUAAUAAAUGAUACAAAAAUCAUAUUAUAUUUUAACAUCAAUUGUAAUUGAUGUUGUUAUUAACUUACCUUUGUCUAUAUUAAUCUAUGUUAAGCAAGUGAAGAUCAAUUAAAAGAUAUGUGUGUAAAAAUAUGCAGUUUACUCUUAACCAAAAAUAAUUUUAUUUUUUCUAUUGUUUCUUUUGUUCUUAUUAGAAAUCAAAGGUUUGAUAAAUUAAUUAAAAACUUUUAUUAUUUCAUUAAUAUAAUUAUUUUUCAUUUUAGUGUUUGUUAUAUUUUAUUAUAAAAGGAAGUAAAAUAAAAAUAUUUGUCACUAUAGUUGAAAUUCAAUGCAAAUUAUGAAUUAUUUUUCAUUUUUAUGUAUUUGUUUUUGAAUGCGUUGGUAUUUUAUACAUUUUAAACCUAUUGAUUUUGAUAAUGUGAAAAUGAAUGAAAAUAUACAAUUAUAUAAUUAUAUAGAUUACAGCCUAGGACUGUUAUGGUCUAGGACUGGUCCACGCUAUGCGCAGAAUUUAAACAUUGUGGUAUUUCCUUUUGAACAGAAUUGUGAAAUCAUCUAAUCUAUUAAUUUAGGGUUCUAUUUUUUAUCUACCAUACAAAAGUCUAUGUUAGACCAUUCAUUUGAAAUUUAACUAAAUAUCCUAAAUUUACUCAUAUAUGAUAUUUUCCUAACAAAAAUAAUAUACAUCUAAACAAUAAGAUUUCUAAGACAAGACAAAUAUAUUUCCAUUAGAUAAUUAUUGUUUAUUAUUUAUCAUAUUUAAUCUAGACCAAAUUAUAUAUAUAUAUAUAUAUAUUUCAGUCAUUAAUUUUUAAAUUAAAUGGUAUAGCCCACUCUUUUUAAAUUGUCAUAUUAACUUUUCAUAUAAAACAAAAUAAAUUAUAUUUGAUUGGCUGUAACAUUUUAUGUUUGAUUUUUGUAGUAUAAAUAAAAACACCAAAUUGAAUUAUAAUAUAUUAAAUAAAAUAUUAUUUUAAAAUAUAAUAUUAAAUAAUUUAGUUUAUUUAGACACAAAAAUUUCGAGAAUAAAAAUUUCUAAACGAAUUUUUUUUAUAAAUUUCGUAUUAAUUCAUAUAAAACUAAUAUUUAAAAUUAAACUGUUAAUAUAAUGUUGCAUUCUAAAAUAAAUAAACAAAAAUACUACAUUAAUAUCUGAUUUGUACAAUUUCAUCAAAAAAAAAUUCAACAAAUAUGAAAAUUUCUAAAUAAUAUUAUAUACAUAAAAAUUGAUAUUGAAUAUAUAUCUUUAUACCUUAAUUUAUAUUUAAAAAUGUUAUUUUAAAAAUAAAAAUAUAUCCGCACGGAUGUGCGGGUUCAAAUCUAGUUGUUUGUUAUGAGAUUGUUUUUCCUAUUGAUCUUAUUAUUUUAUUUUAUGGGAUAUUACAAAUAAGUUGUGAAUUUCACAUUGUUAUAUAUUUGAGCUGGAACGUAUUUGGUGAAUGGGUUCAAUAAUAAAAGGAAAUCAGCUUGAUUGUGUACUAUAAUUUUGUAGGAAGAUACUAUAGACAACCUUGGUUGCCUUAUGGUUGAAGGACCAUGUAGGAUUCGUAUAAUCGUGUUGAAGAGAGUGUCAGCCGAACCAAGCACAACUUGUUCUCUGCUGCUUCUUCCCGGAGCCCUCCUCCUCCACCCUCUAGUUCAGUUACAUCAGUUACAUUUUAACUAACACCAGCAAAUUAGAAAAAAUGAUUUCCUUAAAUCGAGACAAAAUAUGAAUACUUUGUUUUUCAUUAGGAAAAUUACAAUACCUAUAAAACAUACAUAAAUGAUAUAAUAUACUUUUAUAUCAGCCUAAAAAAUUCUUAGAAUCGAGACAAAAAAAAUCUAAAAUAUAUUUUGUUUACACUUUGACAGAACACAACUUUCAAAAUAAUUAAGGGAGCUUCUUUCAUUUGAUGCAUGAUGAGUGAUACCUACGAAUAAGAAGGUUCAUCUCUCAGAUUCAUCAAAGCUAAGUCAAUCUCUUCUCUAGAUCAUCCACUUCAGUAAAUUCCAAGCUGCAAUAAUAUUUGAACACCGAAAAGAAUGAAUUAUCUAUUCCUGAUAAACGUAAUAGAUCAAAGUAAGUAAUUUGAACUGUCAUGUCUAUUUACAUACACUUGCCUCUUUUUAUUGACUGUAGUGGGAACGUCAUUUUUUUGUAGCCAUCCUGCGUUUUAGAGAUGAAGAUACAUACCUGUUGAGAAAGAAGCAGGUAAAGUUAGUUUUAAACCAUUUGUAAUAUUUUCUUGACAAAUUUUAACUUGACUACUUAAGAAAAGCCAACCUGUGAACUGUAAUCUCAUCGACCACCUAUAAGAACAGCAGAAUAUUGAGGAAUUAGUUAGAUUGAAGAAUUUAAAAAAACAAACGAAAGCUGUGUGUGACUGUAUCUUGUGACUGAAAUUUCAAUAAUUACCUGAUUAGCUAGAUCUGUAGUUUUUCCAACUUCUUCUUUAUCAAAUGUUUCAUCAAUUGCCUAUGACAUCAUCUCUAUCUAUAAACACACAACACACACGACAACCAAUCCUCUCAUGAUUUUAGAGUAUUAUGAAGUUAGGAAUGAGAGUACACAUUCUGUUUGCUGUCCAGCUGUGCAUAUAACUUUUGUUAAUCCUUGAUCACUUAGCAGUUUAGCUUGUUUUGUGGGUGACAUUAGAUGAAAAAAUGUGAAGACAGCGCAAGAUUGAUCAAAAAGAUGUUAAAGGACCAUCAAAGUAGUAAAUGAAGCAACAUGUGAUCAUUACCUUGUUCAUUGCAACUGUAGUUGUGCUUGUAAGGUUUAAGACUCCUCCUCCUCCUCCUCUGUUUCUUUUCAUCCCACUUUCAAGCUCUGUUACAGACGAUACAUCCUAAAAGCUAAAUUCUAUAACUUUAGUCACUUUUAUUAUCUAGGAAUCUCACAGGUUUGAUCCCUAACGAAAUCAGAGACUUGUUAGAUCUUUCCGGUGUUGGCAAAUCUUGUGGCUGAAUGUAUCCCUGAGACAAAUCUCUCCAGUAAAUGUCUGGAGUCAAUUGAAAACCUGAAACAUGUUCAGACAAUAGCUAAUCGGGCCUGAUUUCUAAAGCUGGUUUGUUUUCCAGGUGGAUUCAUGGGCAAACGUAUUUGCAGUUCCCUGUAGAAAAGCUAUAGCCAAUUACGACAUUCUAUAAAUGAGAAAUCAGUUUAUCAUGAAGAUCCAUAAUUCAAAGAAAUCAAGCUUUUACCUUUUGGAUUGUGUUUUUUUUUUCAUCAUCUCUGGGAGGGUCUUCUAUGUGGAUUAGAAUUGAGAAAUCUUUUGUGUAUGGCGAUAAUCUUUAAGUGAAGUUGUUCUAUACAGAGAAGAGAUAAUCUCAAAUAGAGAUAAGAAGAAGUAAUUUUGCUUGUUCUGGGGGAAGAAUUAAGGUUAUUGUUAAUGACGAUGAAUCAAUAAAUUCCAUAACGUUUCAGAGGAGAAUAAUUUUAGACGAAGCGACACGAAUAAAGUUCAACCCAGGGAUUUCUCAAGACGAUUCGUCUCACACAACCUUUCAGAAACUCUAUUGAAGCUUGACCUAAUCUGAACUCGAAGAAAACGAAGAACCUUAGAAUUCAAGGGUCGCUAUAUUCUUGAAGAAGCCAAAGGUAAUAAUCGGUAAACUUUGUCUGCAGAAUCUUUCGGGAAGCAUGGGGCAUUCAACCAAAUGAAUUGGAAUUAUUGAAUAUUUUGGUUUGGUAAAAAUUAGACCCAAAUGGAUUACUAAUUUCAUUGGAUGACAUGGCAACUUCAUUGGAUGAGAAUAUUUUGGCUGAGGUGGAUAGUUUCAAAAGCCUUGAAUUUAGUCCCUUUUAUAUAGUAGGAUUGUAUUUUUCGCCGACUUAUGGUUCCAGAAAAAUGUGUUUCUUUCCGGCAUAUAUAAAAAAAUUUAUGUUUUCAAUAUAAUCCAACAUAUGAUAAAAAGAUUAAUAUAUUGAAAUUACAUUUCUAAUAUUUUAGCGCGAAGUAUUUAAUUUAGAAGGAAAUAUAGUUUUUGAUAUAGAACUUUUUUUAAUGACCAAUCCUCUCAUGAUUUUAGAGUAUUAUGAAGUUAGGAAUGAGAGUACACAUUCUGUUUGCUGUCCAGCUGUGCAUAUAACUUUUGUUAAUCCUUGAUCACUUAGCAGUUUAGCUUGUUUUGUGGGUGACAUUAGAUGAAAAAAUGUGAAGACAGCGCAAGAUUGAUCAAAAAGAUGUUAAAGGACCAUCAAAGUAGUAAAUGAAGCAACAUGUGAUCAUUACCUUGUUCAUUGCAACUGUAGUUGUGCUUGUAAGGUUUAAGACUCCUCCUCCUCCUCCUCUGUUUCUUUUCAUCCCACUUUCAAGCUCUGUUACAGACGAUACAUCCUAAAAGCUAAAUUCUAUAACUUUAGUCACUUUUAUUAUCUAGGAAUCUCACAGGUUUGAUCCCUAACGAAAUCAGAGACUUGUUAGAUCUUUCCGGUGUUGGCAAAUCUUGUGGCUGAAUGUAUCCCUGAGACAAAUCUCUCCAGUAAAUGUCUGGAGUCAAUUGAAAACCUGAAACAUGUUCAGACAAUAGCUAAUCGGGCCUGAUUUCUAAAGCUGGUUUGUUUUCCAGGUGGAUUCAUGGGCAAACGUAUUUGCAGUUCCCUGUAGAAAAGCUAUAGCCAAUUACGACAUUCUAUAAAUGAGAAAUCAGUUUAUCAUGAAGAUCCAUAAUUCAAAGAAAUCAAGCUUUUACCUUUUGGAUUGUGUUUUUUUUUUCAUCAUCUCUGGGAGGGUCUUCUAUGUGGAUUAGAAUUGAGAAAUCUUUUGUGUAUGGCGAUAAUCUUUAAGUGAAGUUGUUCUAUACAGAGAAGAGAUAAUCUCAAAUAGAGAUAAGAAGAAGUAAUUUUGCUUGUUCUGGGGGAAGAAUUAAGGUUAUUGUUAAUGACGAUGAAUCAAUAAAUUCCAUAACGUUUCAGAGGAGAAUAAUUUUAGACGAAGCGACACGAAUAAAGUUCAACCCAGGGAUUUCUCAAGACGAUUCGUCUCACACAACCUUUCAGAAACUCUAUUGAAGCUUGACCUAAUCUGAACUCGAAGAAAACGAAGAACCUUAGAAUUCAAGGGUCGCUAUAUUCUUGAAGAAGCCAAAGGUAAUAAUCGGUAAACUUUGUCUGCAGAAUCUUUCGGGAAGCAUGGGGCAUUCAACCAAAUGAAUUGGAAUUAUUGAAUAUUUUGGUUUGGUAAAAAUUAGACCCAAAUGGAUUACUAAUUUCAUUGGAUGACAUGGCAACUUCAUUGGAUGAGAAUAUUUUGGCUGAGGUGGAUAGUUUCAAAAGCCUUGAAUUUAGUCCCUUUUAUAUAGUAGGAUUGUAUUUUUCGCCGACUUAUGGUUCCAGAAAAAUGUGUUUCUUUCCGGCAUAUAUAAAAAAAUUUAUGUUUUCAAUAUAAUCCAACAUAUGAUAAAAAGAUUAAUAUAUUGAAAUUACAUUUCUAAUAUUUUAGCGCGAAGUAUUUAAUUUAGAAGGAAAUAUAGUUUUUGAUAUAGAACUUUUUUUAAUGUGAUAUUGCACAAGAAGAAAUAGGAAAAAGGAAAGUUUGUUUGUUUCUCUACCUGAUACAAUUAUAAUUUUUGAAAUUUACAAUUGACAUAAAGAAAAGGUGCUAUCCAAAGUGUUUUAACAUUAAACUAAGAUUUGCAUGAUGAGAUGUACAUCUUGUAACCAGCAUAAAAGAGUGCAUAUAUUUUUUUUUGUCAGCAAUAUAAAAAUAAUCACAUAGAUUCUGUAAAUCACAAUGGGCAAUUCUGUAAUCAUAUGGAUAACAAAUGAUGAUUGCUUCCUUGCAAUGCGUGCAAGAAUGUCGCUGUUGAAUUCUGCGUACGUAGUAUACGAAUGAGCUCUGAGUUGUUGAAACUUAUCUUCAAGACUUUUAUGUCUUUUAAAUAGCUUGCAAAGACUGACCAUUAUUCUAGUUUCAAAAAACUAUUUUUACCAACUGAGAAAAAUCUUUUGCAAAGUAACAGUAAAUUGUUUUAGAUUCCUCGUACAAAAAAGAGUGCAUAUACAUAUAUACAUUUAAUUAAUUUAAAUAUUUUUUACAGAAUAUUCAAUGUUUUCCAUUUUUUAGCAACUUACACCACGCAGCCCUAAUUAAAUGUCACCUCCUUUUAUGAAUAGAUCCAUUGAAUUGUCGACGCCUCUAAAGUCCAUAACUUAGAGCAUCUCCAAAAGACACUAUAUAACUUCAAAUAUGAAAUUUUUUGCUCUCCAAAAGGAAACUUCAAAACUUCAAAUUUGAAUUUUUGAGGAGUGAAACUCUAUAUUUAAAGUUUCACUAUUCAAAACUUCAAAUUUGAAGUUUCAUAUUUUUAUUUGCAUUUUGGUCCCUAUAAUCACACAUCACAUUUAUGAUUCACAUAUAUUUUUCUCGUUUAUUGUUUUAAUCUUUAAAAAAAUUAUAUCUCAUAAAUAUUUUAAAUUUUGUUUACAGGUUUUAAAUUUUACACAUAAAAUUAAAUUAAACUUUAAAAUAAGAUUUAAAAUAUUUUAAGUUAGAUUUAGACAACAAUAAUGUACAAAAAAACUUAACAAAAAGAUUUUAAAAAAUUACAUGAAGACAUAAAUAUUACACAAAUUUAAAUAUUACAACAACACUAAUAGUCAGGUAAGUUUGAUCCGGAACCUUCAAAUUUUCAAAUCUUGUCCAUUUUUUUUUUGUGUAACUGAAGAUGGUUGUUGUUGUUGUUUUUGAUGUCUUUUUCGUUCAAUUCUUUCUUGUUCUUAUCGAUUAUAUUCACGAGUAUUAAUAUCAUCGAAAAUAAAUUAAUUUUUUAGCAAUAUUUUAUGCUUCUCUUUUACUUUCUUGUUCCGAUCUAAUGUAUUUACUUUUUUUUUUUGAAAGAAUUUUAAAUUUAUUCAAAAAAAACCUUGGUACAGAGUUUCACUGCUACUUUCUUUACAAACUCAUCACAUAACUCAAACUACAAAAUUCUCAACUAAAGACAAGCUGCCUCAUUUAAAUCCUUGCAAACCAUAGCUCCAUGGUCUUCUCAUGCUUCCCACCUACAGUCUUUCGAAGUGAAGUAACUCUAUUUCUCACAAUUUUGUCCAAUCGGUUAAUCAGACAAGCUGCUGGUUGAGGACGUUCUCCUACUCUCCUGAUAUUCCUCUCAUGCCAGAUAGCAUAAAUCACCACUUGAAAGCAGUAUCUCAUCAAAAAAUUAAUGCUUCUCCCUUGAUUCCCAUUUGAAAUAAACCGGAUUACACUGCCCCAUUGAUGGAUCCUUCCCAUGCCUGCCAGACUCCUCACCGUACCAUUCCAAACUUCUUUAGAAUAGGGACAUUCAAAAAAGAGAUGAUCCCUUGUUUCAAUAUCCGUAUUACACAGCCAACAGGUGGAGAUAGCUUGCGGGUUCCAACGAAGCAUUCUAUCACCCAUUGCUAGUCUGUUAUGAGCAGCUAGCCAAGCUAUAAAAGAGAAUUUUGGUGUAGCCUCAGUAAACCAAAUUCCUUUAGACCAAAAGAGUGUUGGAGACUUACAUCUAAUCAGGUUCCAAGUUUGGGAUGUAACAAACCCUUCUUUGAACUCCCCAUUUUCCCUCUUCCAUAGACAAACAUCCUCCAACUGAUUAAGCCCCCGACUCUUCAGUCUAGUAAUCGAUCUAAUGUAUUUACAAGUAUCAAUAUUACCCGAUUUUAACAACUUUUAGCUCGUAAUCUACAAAAUAAAAAAAUAGGAGAGUCAUUUUUACUUUAAAAUGCACUAAUAUAUCAUAUAUGCAUUACAAAAAUCAUUUUAUGAAAUAAUAUGGUAUUUUGUUUGAAGUUUAAUAUUAAUUAAGUUAUUUUUAUUUAAAUUUUAAUAUUUAAUAUAAUAUAAUAUUUAAUAUAAUAUAAUAUUGUUGUAAUAUGUUUAUAUAUGUGCUCGUUAUUUACAAAAGUUUUAUGAAUUCAAAUUAGUUGUGAAAAAUAAAACGACCAUAUUAUAAAAUAUAAAUAGUUUUGAAGUUGAGUUUAAAGUUUUGCUUUUCUCCAAAAGCAUAUUUAAACUUCAAAUAUAGAGUUUGGAAACUUCAAGAUAGAGUUUUUUUUUGGAGAUGCUCUAUGGGGGUAAUAUAUAUAUAUGAUUUUUUUUGUUAGUAUAAGAUGUGUGUAAAUUCUCAUUAAAAAGAUAUUGGAAAUUCUCGCUAGGAAAUAUAUUGGCUAAUUCAUUAGAAAAUAAAUUACUGAGCAAAGGCAAAACUAAGAAAAAAUAUUUUGUUGAAUCCAAAUAUCUACAAGAAACAAGGGGAAUGUUGGAGCACGUCGCUUUCGAAGUGAAGUAACUCUAUUUCUCACAAUUUUGUCCAAUCGGUUAAUCAGACAAGCUGCCGUGGCUGCGUGCAUUGAGCUUCUAAAAUUAUUAUUUCUUCCGACGUGCAUUGAGCUUCUAAAAUGAAUAGAAAACUAUAUUCACAUAUAUAUGAUAUGUAUGCACUUUAGUACUAAGCUAUGAAGUUAUGAUUCCACAAAAAUAAAGAAAAGCAAUUUGGUUGAAAAAUUCCAUAAAUACCACGUUCUUUGGGAUGCAACGCCCAUACCUUUUAAUUUACUCAUCUUCGGGGUUCACAUAUUAAGUUUACUUUGACUAUAUGCCACAUAGAUGCCUACUUAUAUACUACUUUAUUCAUCAAUAUUAAUUAUUUGUAGAGCUGUAUUAACUAUAGAGGCAUAUGUUAUCGAAUAUCUUUUACAUGUAGUAAUUAAUAAACUAGUGGAAAUUUUAAGAGUUUUUUUUUGUAUUGCUAACUGAAAUUAUUAGAAUUCCCGUUAAAAUAAACAAUUUUCUAAGUUACGACCACAUAAUAAUUACACACGAUCAAGGACAUAACAUUACGUUUUCGUUGUAAAUAAAAUUAAAGUUAAGUAAAAAGAUAAUUUAUUACCGAUGAAAAGGUGCAUUAUGAACUUUUGAGACUAUUAAUAUAAGGAAAAACAGUACUGACUUAACUAUGUAUAGUAUAACGGAUACAAAGGAAUAAAUUAAUUUCAGAAUACAACUAAUGCAAGUAUGAGCACAUAUAGUGCAAUCACAUUGCAGAAAAAAAGACACCGUGAUAAAAGUCUGAAUAUGACUGAAGAAAAAUAGAUGAGUCUACAUACAAUAUGUGAAGGAGAUAUGCAACCAUCGUAUCUCAACCCAGUCCAUGGAAGCUUAAUUACAAAGAGGUUCUGAGUCUUUGGUGUACAACUUAAACUACAUAGCGCUAAGAACAUAUAUUUUCUACUUGAAGUCAAUUUUUUGUUCGUUUUUUUUUUCUGUAAAUUGAUGCAGUUAUUAUAAAAUACUUUUUUGGUUUGAAUUUAAUUUAAAAUUCAUCUAAAACAGUAUCAAAAAAAUGAGAAAGCUAUAUUUGCAGUAAUAUUAUUAUAUAUAUCAGCCCAUAACUUUUUUUUUAAUCAGCCCAUAACUUAAUUUAUAAUAAACUAGUCGACCAACGGUAAUACGUUAGUCACUUCAUCUUCGAGCAUGGAAACUUUUUUUUUCGAGCUUGAAAUUUGUGUUGAUAUUUGUUUGUUUUUUCUACAAUCAGUUUGCUUGAAAUCCUGCGAUGUUUCCUAUAGUUUCCAGAAGAUUAAUAUGGGUAAACAAGUCAACGACUAGGGUCGUCUUUUGGAUGCAGACAAACUUUGGAUCGUAUCUCAUUUAAUACGCUGUUCUAGCUAAAUAAUUGGUAGGUUACCUUAGGGUUUAAAAUAUAACUUAGGGUUUUAAAUUAGCCCAAAAUUUAAGGGUUGAAUGUGACUGUAACUACACGUGCCAGCAUCCAAAGAGAAAUAUCAGGAAAGUUUCAUUUAAAAGUGAACAAUAACAUAAAGUAUUGGACCCAUAUCGUAUAAUUAACGGUGAUUGAUAAUUUGAUUUAGUAAAAAUCAUAGGUCUUCAAGAGUAUAUAUAUCCGAGGCAUUAAUUUUUAAAAAUAGUAAGUAUAAAGGAUUGAGAAAUAUGUUAUGUUUAUAUAAUAAGUUAACUAGUUGAUGUCCCGCACCUUGUGCGGAUUAAUAUAUCUGUACAUCUAACAAUUUUUAAUUCUAUUUUUUAUAAGAUAAUAAGAAUUGAAUUAGAUAGAAAUUUUAAAUUUUAAUUCAGAUAUAUUAAUAUAUUUAUAUAUAAAUUUUAUAAUAAUAUGUAUUUGAUCAAUAUUUUCAGUAAAAAAUCAGAGAAAUUGGCUAUAAUAUUAGUCAUUAAAAUUAUAAAUAAGAGAAAAGUAAUGAUGAUAUUAUCGGUAUAUAUUAUUAAUAUCUUUUAAUUAAUUAAAUGUCGUAAAUAUCAUGUUUAUUAUAUAUUAAAAUAUAUUUUAGAAAAUAUUAGUAUAUAUAUCGGUAAAAUAGGUUCAUGUUUAUCAUGAUUUUAAAUAUCAUGAUAAAUAUAUAGAUAUCAAAAUAUUAAAAAAUUAAUAAUAAUAUUAAUUAAACUAAUGAUUUAUCUUAAAAUCAUGGAAAAUAUGACAAAUAAGCAAAUUAACUAAAAUUAUGGAGAAUGUGAUAAAUAAGCCAAAUCAAUUCAUAAAUAAUAGAAUAGAUAGACAACUAAUUAGAAUGUCACAAGGAUAUUUUUACUUUAGCAAAAAUAAUGCUUCUACAUACCACCGCCUAUUUUGAGAGCUAGAGAACUUUUUCUAGUCGUCAUUAAUUACACAACCAUAAUUAUUUUUGACCGGUUCAAAGUGUAAGACAUACACAAAUCUAAGAAAGUAUUAAACUUUCAAUCCAACUUGUAUCCUCUGAUUUUUAAACGGCAUCGAUAUCCUGUUUUAAGAUUGCAUAAGUCAAAAUCAUUAAUAGCUUCGUAUUUUUGGCAAUUUUGAAAUGCAAAUAGAAUGUUUUCAUGAAUAUAAAUAAAUAAUAUAUUUACUUAAUUUAUGUUACGUAAAAUUUUAUGUUACAUUAAAUUGUAUGUUACAUAGCUUACGAUACCUCACUGAAUAAUUAUUAGUAAGACUUUUUGUAGAACUUUUAGUAAAAAGAUUGUUGUGCAUGUUUGAUAACAAAAAAUUAUUGUGCGUGUAUGACUAGAAUCUCAAUACACAUGGGUUUCUAACUAUUGGGUUUAGCUAUGACACUAAGCCUCUGCCAACAUAAACUUAUUUAAUUUUAAGAACAAACUCAACGAAUCGUAUAUAAUCUGAUCUACUAAAUCUUUUAAUCAACCCAAACAUUUUGACUUAACAUGUCUGGACUGUCUUCUAAAGUAUAUGUUGUCCGUUUCCUUAGGGUAUUAGAAACCAUCAUUUUCAGAGUUUCGAUGUCGGCUUGUGAAGAUCGACCACGUAAGUCGUCAAUUGCAUGUUGUCCAUUUAUAUAUUUUUAAACAAAAUCAUAAUAUUAUAGGUAUGAACGAACUGUAAGGAAGAAUCUAUGCAAUGAUCCAGACUAGUUAGGAUAGAUUUUGAAUUAGUUUUCAAAUAUAUGGAUACGGUAAAGUAUUAAUAACCCAUCUAUUCUCUAUAAGAAACUAGAAAUUAACUCAUAGGUGAGAAUUUUAUAGUUUUCUGGGUACUUAAUUAAAACUAGAUUUUGAUCCGCGUUUAGAAAGCGCGGGUUUGUUUUUAUUUGUUUUCAAAAUUAAAUAAUUUUUUAAUAUGAAUUUCUAUAUAAAAUCGUGUAAAAUUCUAAACACAUUUAUGUGGAAUCGUGAACCGAACCAUAUCAAACUGAAACACACACAAAACCCAAAAUGAAAUGAAUUUUAUAAAUAACCGUAUUGAUUAUAUAUCUGGGGAGCCAAAUAACUGAAACCGAAUAGAAAAUCAAAUGGAUGCCUGAAUUUUAAAGUACAAAUUAUAUACCUACAAAUAAUAAAUUAUAUUUAAUUUCUAAAUAACCAAAUAUCCUAAAAUUACAAUUUAUAAACCAAAUUACCUGUAAAGCUUAAUAACCCAAAAUUUUAUUCAUAAUAUUUCAAAAUUAUCCAGAUUAUCUGAUAUUUUUAUUCGAACAAACCGAAUUACCCGAUAUUUAAACUGAAAACUCUAAAUUAUCUAGCAAUUUUUAUCUACAAACCUGAAAUUACUUGAAAAACAAAAUUAAGCGGGAACAGAAUUGGGCCCAUUUUUGAGAUAUUAGCCGGAUUCAAACUAUGUUACCGAACCAAAGCAAAACCUUAAUAACCCAACUAAAACCAAACUGAACUUUGUAAAUACAUGAACAGUUCCAAAAUUUCUAAAACCAAACAUUAAAAACCAACUGAUAUGUUUCCACCAAAUUUAGAUUUAAUGAAAACCUAUAAAUUAAAAAUCAGAUAAAAUUCAAAAACUCCCAUCAACAUAUGAACCGACACAUGUUGUCCAGAUUAAAGCCCAUAAAAACAUUAAAACACUUUUUAAAUGGACUAAACUUCUCAUGUAUUUUAUAAUAAUACAUAAAACUAAAUAAAAUAUUCGAUUUGUUCAGGUAAAAACUCAGAAAAAUCUGAUAACACCUUUUAAAAAAAUUAUUAAACUUUUUAUAUAUUUUAUAAUAAUACAUAAAACUAAAUAAACUAUUUGAUUUGUCUUAUGAAGUACAUGUAUAUGAAAUCAGAUUAUAGUUUAGAAAUAUAUGAAAUAGGGUUUAGGAUAUAUAGCUUAAAAGUUUAUGGAAAUUUGGUUUAGGGUAUAGGGUUUGAUUUAUACAGAAAAUAUGAUAAAAAAUCUCUAGAAAAUAUGUAUUUGAACAAAUAAAUAGAUUCAAGAAAAUACAUGAAAAUGGUAAGAGUCAAACGAGUAAAUAAUAUAUGGUUUAUGGUAUAAGGAUUUGGUUUGUAUUUGGUAAUAUGCAUACUACCAUUGAACAUAUUCUGUAAGUUCAUACGCACAUUUUUUUUUAAAAUAGCCUACCAACUAAUUUCAUCACGACGGGUAGUAUUUUGAUUUUAUAUAUGUUUGGUUAUAUAAGGUCGAAAAUAUGUAUAUUCCAUAUUAUUCAUUUGUUUUAACUUUUUCCUCACGUAAUGAAGCGAAUAUUAAUGCACUUAAAAUAUUACGAUGUGUAAAAGGAUAUGUUAGAUGCAAAAAUAUCGGAUGAUGGCAGUUGGAGUUUCCAUUUUAACAAUAUUGAUAAUUUUGAUUAACUAAGGUAAAUAUAAAAUAAGACAUAUUAAGAUCCUAUUGAAUAGGUCCAACAACUUUGUUUAAGUAGAUUUUUUCAGAAUGUUUCUUUUUUAAUAGUAUAGACGAGAGAAUUGUCUAGUUUUUUUUGUUUUUUUUUCUUAAUUUCUAAUUAGGUCUCUGCCACAUGUCGAUGGUAGAACGAAUAUCACAACAAUGAUUUCAAAGGUAAGAAAUCUGCCAAUUCGAAUUCGCUCAAUACUAUAAUGGGCGGUGUAUUAUUUAAUUGUAUUUUAACAUUUAGUUACUAAGUGUACUUUUUAUGUGAAUUACAAAUUAUUGUCGAUUGAGUCAUUUUAUAAUUAUUAUGAAGAGGCAUUUUGUACGGGACCAUACGCUCUUGAUAUGUAUCAUACGUGAUAGAAUUUUGAACGUGGCAUGAUAUUAGAGGGGGUUCAUAGUUGGCUAUAUAUAUUUGCAGUUACGAGCUUGAUGAUUGUAAGUCAACUAUCAUUUGAAUUUGUUCACAUUAUGGAGAUAGUAAAAAUUCAUAUUUAUAUUAUACACGUAAAAACUCGUUAGGGUUUGACUACUUAUUAAGUGAGUUGACGUACUUUGAGUAGCCUAUGGUUUGUAUAGCAAAUAUGUUUCGAGGUAGACUGCUUAUAUACCCCCUUUACACAUAUGAUGAUAAUUUUGGCUCAAUAAUAAUAGAUCAAGUCUAUCUCUUUUAUACUUUCUAGAAAAAGAAAAGUGGAUAUAUGUUUUGGUUGUGGUUGGGCUCUGCUACUAGUACUACUACUCUAUAUUCAAAACGUUUAUACAUUUCUAUUUAGUAAUUACGAGUUAUAUAAUCAUUAAAUAUUAUUUACAGUGACUAAUCUUACUGUAUAUAUACAUAUAUUUAUUCUCAUUUCAUAAAAUAUUAACACAUACUAAAAAUGAUCAAAGUAUAUACACAUGCAUUAGUAAACACCAUGUAUAGUAUUAAUCUAACACAUCUCCGUUCAUAAAGUAUGAUUUUAAUUUUUUUUAACACAUAUUAUAAAAAAACAUCAAACAUAUCCUUUUAAUUCAUAUAUCAUUUUAAGAGCUGCACCAUUAAAACUAAAAUUAUUAUUAUAUUAUAUAUCUUUCGAAAUAUUAAAAUAAUUUUUCAGGUAAAUAUAUCAUCGAAUUCAUAUCUUACAAUGUAAGAUCAAAUUAUCAAAAGUAGUUUAAAGUUGGGAGAAUUCUAAUUUUACCACAAACUUAAUAUCAUUUUUUAAAUUUAUUUCUAAAAAUGACUAUUUAUAAAUAUCCUAAAUUUGUGAUUAAAAAUAUUAAACUAACACUCCUAAAUCAUUUAUAAAUGUUUAAGAAUUAUUUAUAGAAGUUUAUAAACUCAAUCUCACCUCAUAAAUACUAAACUCUAAACAAUAAUCACUAAACUAUAAACCCAAAUGCUAUGAUAUUUUUGAAAAUUGGUAUCCAGUUAAUGGCCUUUAAAGUAAUUUCUCUUUAGAGUUGAAUAAUAUCUAUUAAUAAAUACUAGGUAAUAACCCGCGCCUUGCGCAGGAUGUGAUUAUUAGUUUCGUUAUUUUUAAUAGAAAAACAUUAAAUUUGUUUAAUCUGGAUAUUGGUUAGGUUUUACCUUUUUUUUGUUUUUAAUCUUCUAAAAUAUAACUAUGAUUUUAAAUUAAUAUUCAUUUUAGUUUAUUCGAUUAAAUGUUAUUAUUUGUUUAUUUUCAUAUUAUGAAUUUUAGAUAGUCGUUAUGUCGAACUAAUAGUUUCAUAUUAGAGUUUUUAAACAGAUAAUAGUUUAAGAAAUAGAAAAGAAUAUUAUUAAGAUAAAUCAAUUCACUACAAUUUGGUCGGUAGUGAAAGAAACAUUAAGAAAAAAUAUUUCAACUUUCAAAAAAAUUAGAUAUUUCAGCUGUGGUUAAUAAAAAUAUGUAUUUGAACAAAUAAAUAGAUUCAAGAAAAUACAUGAAAAUGGUAAGAGUCAAACGAGUAAAUAAUAUAUGGUUUAUGGUAUAAGGAUUUGGUUUGUAUUUGGUAAUAUGCAUACUACCAUUGAACAUAUUCUGUAAGUUCAUACGCACAUUUUUUUUUAAAAUAGCCUACCAACUAAUUUCAUCACGACGGGUAGUAUUUUGAUUUUAUAUAUGUUUGGUUAUAUAAGGUCGAAAAUAUGUAUAUUCCAUAUUAUUCAUUUGUUUUAACUUUUUCCUCACGUAAUGAAGCGAAUAUUAAUGCACUUAAAAUAUUACGAUGUGUAAAAGGAUAUGUUAGAUGCAAAAAUAUCGGAUGAUGGCAGUUGGAGUUUCCAUUUUAACAAUAUUGAUAAUUUUGAUUAACUAAGGUAAAUAUAAAAUAAGACAUAUUAAGAUCCUAUUGAAUAGGUCCAACAACUUUGUUUAAGUAGAUUUUUUCAGAAUGUUUCUUUUUUAAUAGUAUAGACGAGAGAAUUGUCUAGUUUUUUUUGUUUUUUUUUCUUAUGGGAAAAGACUGUUGCUUAAUAUAUAUCCUUUGAAUAUAUUUCGGGUAAAACUGGUUAAUCUAUUUCGGGUAAAAUUGGUUAAUCUAUUUGACGGGGAUUGCAAGGGCUAUAAGAAGUGCAAAUAUUAACUGGUGUGUCAUUUCAGAAGGCUAUGAAUCAAUGUAUGAAUGUGAGGUGGCUUGGCUUUUUUCAUCGCUAAAUUGGACUAGACAAUUCUUUAUGUAUUAUCAGAAAUUACCUCGAAAUAUGAACUUCUCUCUUUUUGGAUGACUAGAAAUUAAAUUCGGAAUCCAAAAGCUUGUACAUCUUCUAAUGGCGAAAUUCAGAUCAUGUUAAACUAUAACUAUAUUCAGAAGAACAGACAUUUUCUAGCAAAAUUGAAUUCAUAACCUUUUAAUUUUUUACUAAGUGAUCUAAAAAUGUUAUCCACUAUAUCAACUCUUUAUUGUAUGUAAUGCCCUUUCCGAAAGAAAAAAAAAACUCGGUUGCCGAAUAAGAGAUUUUGUCACUAAAAGCAUUUCUAAUGGAGAUUUUUAAUUUAGGAGUUCUAAAAAUACAUAUAUGUGUAUAUAUAUAUAUAUUGUUAUGUGUAUAAUUGCGAGGUUCUAAACUUUACGGAAAACUCAAUCUAAAAUAUUUUUGUGGAGUAUUUUGGGUUAUGUUUUUCGUAAAGUUUAAAACUCUGCAAUUAUGUACAUAUAUAUGUUUUUAGUACUCUUAAGCUAAAACUUCGAUGCUCUAGAGCUUUUCCAACGUUCGUAUUCGAACACCUAAACAUUCUUAAAACUUCGAAACCAUUCCAUCACUCAUUGCACACCGAGCGAUUGACAUUUUACAAUCCUCUUUGAUUGCACUACCCACUAAUCUAUUGACGUGGAAGCAUGCACACAUGUACGGUAGAGAUCAGAACACCUUGCCUUCUCCAGAUAUGGAAAGCGACGAUCUUGGACAGGACAUGCUUCGCACAUUACGACAGAACAAAUUACUCAAAAGGUGUUAGGUAUGUUAUGGGCCCACCUUAAAAGCAAUAUUUUAUCGUAUUGCUACUCUGUGGUCCCAAUUUCUAAUUAGGUCUCUGCCACAUGUCGAUGGUAGAACGAAUAUCACAACAAUGAUUUCAAAGGUAAGAAAUCUGCCAAUUCGAAUUCGCUCAAUACUAUAAUGGGCGGUGUAUUAUUUAAUUGUAUUUUAACAUUUAGUUACUAAGUGUACUUUUUAUGUGAAUUACAAAUUAUUGUCGAUUGAGUCAUUUUAUAAUUAUUAUGAAGAGGCAUUUUGUACGGGACCAUACGCUCUUGAUAUGUAUCAUACGUGAUAGAAUUUUGAACGUGGCAUGAUAUUAGAGGGGGUUCAUAGUUGGCUAUAUAUAUUUGCAGUUACGAGCUUGAUGAUUGUAAGUCAACUAUCAUUUGAAUUUGUUCACAUUAUGGAGAUAGUAAAAAUUCAUAUUUAUAUUAUACACGUAAAAACUCGUUAGGGUUUGACUACUUAUUAAGUGAGUUGACGUACUUUGAGUAGCCUAUGGUUUGUAUAGCAAAUAUGUUUCGAGGUAGACUGCUUAUAUACCCCCUUUACACAUAUGAUGAUAAUUUUGGCUCAAUAAUAAUAGAUCAAGUCUAUCUCUUUUAUACUUUCUAGAAAAAGAAAAGUGGAUAUAUGUUUUGGUUGUGGUUGGGCUCUGCUACUAGUACUACUACUCUAUAUUCAAAACGUUUAUACAUUUCUAUUUAGUAAUUACGAGUUAUAUAAUCAUUAAAUAUUAUUUACAGUGACUAAUCUUACUGUAUAUAUACAUAUAUUUAUUCUCAUUUCAUAAAAUAUUAACACAUACUAAAAAUGAUCAAAGUAUAUACACAUGCAUUAGUAAACACCAUGUAUAGUAUUAAUCUAACACAUCUCCGUUCAUAAAGUAUGAUUUUAAUUUUUUUUAACACAUAUUAUAAAAAAACAUCAAACAUAUCCUUUUAAUUCAUAUAUCAUUUUAAGAGCUGCACCAUUAAAACUAAAAUUAUUAUUAUAUUAUAUAUCUUUCGAAAUAUUAAAAUAAUUUUUCAGGUAAAUAUAUCAUCGAAUUCAUAUCUUACAAUGUAAGAUCAAAUUAUCAAAAGUAGUUUAAAGUUGGGAGAAUUCUAAUUUUACCACAAACUUAAUAUCAUUUUUUAAAUUUAUUUCUAAAAAUGACUAUUUAUAAAUAUCCUAAAUUUGUGAUUAAAAAUAUUAAACUAACACUCCUAAAUCAUUUAUAAAUGUUUAAGAAUUAUUUAUAGAAGUUUAUAAACUCAAUCUCACCUCAUAAAUACUAAACUCUAAACAAUAAUCACUAAACUAUAAACCCAAAUGCUAUGAUAUUUUUGAAAAUUGGUAUCCAGUUAAUGGCCUUUAAAGUAAUUUCUCUUUAGAGUUGAAUAAUAUCUAUUAAUAAAUACUAGGUAAUAACCCGCGCCUUGCGCAGGAUGUGAUUAUUAGUUUCGUUAUUUUUAAUAGAAAAACAUUAAAUUUGUUUAAUCUGGAUAUUGGUUAGGUUUUACCUUUUUUUUGUUUUUAAUCUUCUAAAAUAUAACUAUGAUUUUAAAUUAAUAUUCAUUUUAGUUUAUUCGAUUAAAUGUUAUUAUUUGUUUAUUUUCAUAUUAUGAAUUUUAGAUAGUCGUUAUGUCGAACUAAUAGUUUCAUAUUAGAGUUUUUAAACAGAUAAUAGUUUAAGAAAUAGAAAAGAAUAUUAUUAAGAUAAAUCAAUUCACUACAAUUUGGUCGGUAGUGAAAGAAACAUUAAGAAAAAAUAUUUCAACUUUCAAAAAAAUUAGAUAUUUCAGCUGUGGUUAAUAACUUAAUACUUAGUUAGAAGGUGCUCACAUCAAGGUGCACAUGUAUGUUUAUGUAAAAAGUAUAUAAAAAUAGUUGAAAAAUAUAUAAAGAUAUUGUUACUUAAUAUUAAAUGACAUUUUUGUUCAAAAUAAUAUAUGAAAGAUAAAAUUAAAAUUAAUUUAAAAUAAAAAAGAUCUUGACAUUAGUCAUUUUUCAUAUAAAGAAAAUAAAAAUAUAUUCGUAAAUAGGGAUGGGCACAUAUCAAAUAUCUGGGUAUUUGAAAGCAUUAUUGUCGAUUCGAUAUUUAACCACCUAGAUAUUUGGUGACUCGGAUAUCCGAAAUAUUUUAAAAUUUUAAAGAAUAUCUGAUUUGAUUCGUAAAUAAAAUAAAAUUUUAAAAUAAUUUAAUAAUAACAUUUUAUUACAAUAAUAAAACAUUAUAUAACCUUUUAAAUUCUAGUACCUAAUAUAAUAAAUUUAAUUCAUAAAAAUAUUUUAAAAAUGAUAUAAAGUAUAAUAUAUAUAACAUAUAUAUAAUUCUUUACAUAUAUGUAUAUAUAUGCAUAUAACAUAUCAAAUUAGAUAUAUGUUCCUAAAAAUAUUGGUAUUUGUGAUUUGCUUCUUUUUUGGAUAUUGUAUUUUAGUAUUUGAUUUGUUUCGUAGAUAUAUGCAUAUAACAUAUCGAAUUAGAUAUAUGUUCCUAAAAAUAUUGGUAUUUGUGAUUUGCUUCUUUUUUGGAUAUUGUAUUUUAGUAUUUGAUUUGUUUCGUAGAGUUUCAAAUAUAUCCAAUUUUUUUUGUUCAAAUCAAAACGGAUAACGAAUCGAAUCAAAAUUUAUGAAUAUUUUGCUCAACUUUAUCCGUAAAUAUAAAAAUAAUAUAUAUAUAGUUUGGUUUUUGAUUCGUUAUCUAUUUUUAUUCGAACCAAAAAAUUCAGAGUUUUAUUGAAACCAUGUAUGUGAGUUUUAUAUUUAAAAAACACAAAAUACAUAGUGUGAACACAUUUAUGAUUAUAGUGUGAACGCGUUAGCAUAUUUAUUAUCAAAUCAUUGUGAGACUGACACGUGUCUAUUAUAAUGUGAAUGCAUUUAUUACAAUGCUUCUCUUUUAAUAUAUAAGGGAUGUAUCAGUUUGUUCAGUGUAAAUUAGUUUAGAGUUGAAAAAUUAUAAAACCUAGCAUAGUAUCAAUAUUCAAUUACACACUGUCUAAGUGGAUACAAAAAUCGGUAUCUCUUACAAAAUAGUUCCAUCUGCCGAGUCCAAAACUAGUUCUAUCCGGGGGCAGACACUGGUAAGGGAAGGGUGUGGCAUGGGUCCCACCCUAAUUUUUCUUUCAAAGUUUUUUUUGGGUAUAAUAUUUGUUAAAUAUCUUUAAUUUAAUUUGUUAUUGCAUUAUGGAGCUUUUACUAAGAAAAUUCUUUCAAAUAUUUUUUUAAAAGUUUUUGUCACAAAAUAACAUUCAAGAAAUAAAAUGAUCAAAAUAGUUCAUUUUUAUUUAAAAUUUAAAAUUUUGAUUUUUAAUUUUUUCAAAUUUGAAACUCUAUUCCCAUAUUCUACCAAUUAACUCUAAACUCUAAGUAUAGAUUAGUUAAUCAUAGGAUAAAAAUAUAUUUUUAUCUUUUAAUAAAACUUAUUUUGUCAUAUUUUCUUCAUUGAUGGCUAUUUUGUGAAAAUAAAUUAAAAAUGACUAUCCAAAGGAUUUUUUUUUUACUUUAGAUAUACUUAUACUAACUAUUUAUAACAUUUUGUGUCUCAUAUUUUCUAAGCUUCCGGGUCUCCCCUGGUUCUAUAAAAAUCCAUAUCCAGAAUACUGAAACAAGUAGAUAUAAGAUUCAUUGUCGCAAAUGAUAUAUUGAUAAUAAUGUCUUACAUUGAAAAGAAAAACAAAGAAAUAUCACACUUUGGGUUGAUCUUCAAACAACUAGCAAAUGUGCAAAAUUUAUUGAGCUGAAUUCAAAAAUUGCAAAAGAGAAACUACACGCACUUUCAUUCUUUUUGCUAUGAAAUACUUUUCUUGUAUGUACACCUAUAGCAAUAAAACAAAAAGUUUGUCAUGAUAGUUAGGAGAAGUACGUUUAUUGGCUUAUUCUCAAUGAGGAUGGUCGGACUUAAUAUGGUAGCUACAUUCGGUAAGAUGUGAUCCACCAAUUAUCAACACAUAAUAUUGGGACCAUAGUAUAGCUACAGUAUAAUCAUAUGCAAAACUUCGUACUCGUUUUUUAAAACUUAUAUUAUGUGCCUACUUCAUAGAGAUCCAUAACUCUGAUCGAUAAUUCUAAUGUCUUUUAUUUCUCUUGCAUUCUUUGUCAGUCUCUUCUAAUUUUGUUCGAUAUGACUAAAGUUUACAAGCGAUCUAGCUUGUAAGCAAAUUGUCGACGCUUGGAUUAUCGCUAAAUAUUCAUAUGACAUAUAAACAGUUCAUAUAAUAAGUUAGAACUACCAAAUACAUAUCAACAGGAAUGUAAGAUUAUAUAUUGGCGUACAAGUUGAGGUCUGGUCGCUACUAGUUAGUAGUUAAUAUAUAGUUUCAUUUGUUGCUUUUAAGAGUUACCAUAAUCUCACAAGAUAAUUUAAUGUGCUAAAUAAAAUUGUAUCAAAUUAUGGAAACAAAACGUGACAUUAGGCAACAUGGUCCAGUUUGCACAGACCAGAAAAAAAUAAUGAAGGACGGGUAAAAAGUUAAGUAAUCAUUGUACUACGCAAUAGUAUCGUGGUAAGGGUUGACUUGUAAUAAGACUAAAUUUUUCGUCAUUGAUUGGAUCUGAUUCAUGAUGAUAGAUAUGAAGUUGUUGUCACUUGGCCAAAAGAAAAUAAAUCAUGCUUUAUGUUUCAUUAGAAAAUUUGCAGUUAAACUAGUCCUUAAUAUGUGUUUCAAAAAAAAAAAAAAAAAACUAGUCCUUAAUAUUGAUUUUCUAAAGGAUAAGUAGGAUUUCGGUCCGUCCAUUUACUCCGAUUAAUAAAAAGAAAAAAAAUAUCAUUGUACUAAUCGGCCUAUCUGUGUACCAACUUGUCUAAUUAAUUUACACCACAUUAAACUAAUUCAAGCCAAACAAAACCGAACCAAACCAAAUAACAGCUAAACCAGUUGAACCAGUGGUACAGAAUCCGACCCGAACAAACUCGGGUUGAGCCCAUGAAACAAAGCCCAAAUCACGAAACAAAUGGGUUUCACCGUCGUUCGGCGGCACCUCGAGCUCCGUCUCUCUCUCAGGUUAGCUUCAUCGAUACUCAUCCGAUUCGAAAGAUAGAAACUUUCAGCGAGACUAAUCAUGAACACUCGCAGAUAGUUUUAGAGCCUUAGACAAUGUCGGCUCGGCAAGGGCAUAUACAGUUAGCUAUUUGUCAAGCUCAGAGAAGCUAAGCAAGCGGGAGAGGCGGCUUAACCCUCACAAGCUCAUCGAGACAACUCCAAUCUGGAACCGCAGAGGCACUAAAGCCAAUCAUAUAGAUCUUCAGAGUUGGUGCCAUCUCGCUAGUGUCGUUGUUCCUUAAUGGUUACAAGAGCCUUGUGCUUUAUGCACCUUCUUGUAUUGAUUGUUUUUGGUUUGAUUAUUGAUUUACUGUAUCGGUACUCACUAGGACCGGUUUACUAUUAUCCCUUCAAAAUAUUAUGAGCGUAUCACAACAGUGCCGACAACUAUGUAUAUGUAUUUGAUCAAGAACAGGAUCAUGUCUAGAAAAGUAGAAAGGUUAGGCUUUCUCUCGUUGCGGAUUUUAGAGACGCUUUUCUGCAAGCAGUGUAGAAAACCAAGCCCCAAUGAACGACCAUGUUGCGUCCUCCCAUAGCAGUGCACACUCGCCAAGUUGCGACACACACCCUAUCAGACUAUGUAUAGACAAUGUGAAUGUUAACGUAAAAUAACUGCUAGAUUUUGAGGCUAUAAACAAUUUACUAAGAAUUUAUAUAAUUUUUUAUAUUUUGGUAGACCGUAAAUCAAUGUUUCAUUGACCUAUACUCAUGAUCGAUCCUACUAAAAUAUCAGAAACAGAUAAGAGGAAGACCAGAACUUUGAGAUGCUCUUGAACCUCAUCAGAGAUUUAGCAGGCAAACAUAUACAUCACAUACGUUCAUAUGUUAUUAUUAUAAUAUUUUUAUUAUAUCUUGUAGUUGCAGAAGAAAACAGAAAUACAUUAUUUUUCAAUCCAACGUAGUGCUAAAACGGAUGGUGUAUCAAGGUGUCUUGCAAAGUAUAUCCCAUCAAGUUUGGCCGUCCAUAUACGUAUCUGACCACAUCGAGGGAUAAGUCUGGGUCCUGCUUUGUACAUUUGAACGUCAAAAACAAACUUAUUGUUAGGUCCUUGCCUUAACAAACAAUUCCAUGUUGUUAAAUUAGGGAUCUCGUCAUGGAAUGCGAUCACAUAUGGAGUAGCAUUGAAGGCCAUGUUUUUGAUGCCUAAAUCAUCCUUGUUGGAAUAACAAUGGUACUCCAGAUUUCUACCAGGACCGAGUUCGUUAUGAAUCACAACACGGUUCUUUACGCAAGCUUCUUGUGGCCUAAAAUAUGUAACUGUAACUAAUAUAAAAAGUAUGAGGUGUUUCAUUUUUUUCUUUUGAUCUAAAUGAUCACGACUGGUGUAACAAAGGCAUAUUAACUUGUAGUAUUUAUAUUUUUUUUUUCUGUGGAAGAUCUUUUCGGUUAAAAUAAUAAAUACCAUUAUACUUUAUUGGUAAAGAUUUUUCUUGACUAAACUUUAUUAGUUAAGUUUUUUUCUUGACUAAACUUCUUAGUAAAGUUUUCUUUUGACUAAACUUUAUUAAAAGAGUUUUAUUUUACAAAUGUGUUGACCAUGUAUUUCAAGAUCUUCUCUUAAAACAAGUUUGAUAAGUUGUUAUGUAUAUUUUUAUUUCAAUAUCUCUCUUUAAACAAGUUUUAAGAUAUAUAUACCAUAUUUUUAACACAUUUUUGUUUUGUUAUUAUUAACUUAACUUUCUUUUUAUAUUUUAUUUUAUGUUUAUAAUAAAGUAAAAAAAAUUAUAAACACAAACUUUGACAGCUGGCACAUAUUCUUUCUUUAAAAUUACCUUUUUGAAAAUUUUAUUACAAUGUAAGUUUUUAUGUUUUCGUUUAAUUUUUCUUAUAGUUUUCUACGUUUCCUAGUUUUGUUAUUAAUUUAAUAAAUGCCUACAUAUUUUCAUUUUAUGUAAUCUACAUUUGUUAGAUUGAUACUUUUAAGCUUUUGAUAUUGAAAAGGUCCAGUGGCCAUUUAAAGUAUGUUCAUUCAUUUAUAUCUCAAAAUGAGUAUCUCAUAAAUGUAAUAAUAAUAAUUUACAUAAUUAAGUUAAAUAUUUAAAUUUGAAAUAUAAAAGAAAAUUAAACCAAUUAGAAAGUUACAUAUACAGGAUAUGGGUAUUUCUAUUUUUUGGACUAUCUCAAAACUAUUUCUAUUUCUCUCUUUCUUCUCUCUUUUUUAUUUGAAUUUCUUCUUAAAUAAAAAUAGAAAAUACAUUAUUUUUGUUCCAACGGAUGGUGUAUCAAGGCUUCUUGUAAAGUAUAUCCCAUCAACUUUGGUCAUCCAUACACGUAUCUGACUACAUCGAGGGACAAGUCUUGGUCCUGCUUUGUAUACUUCAACGUCAAAAUAAUAUUCCAUGUUAGCUCCUUGCCUUAGCAAACAAUUCCAUUUUGUUACGUUAGGUAUCUCGUCAUGGAACUCGAUGACAUAUGGAGUAGCAUUGAAGUUUAAGUUCUUAACACUUAAAUCAUUGUCUUUGGAACAACAAUGGAACUCGAGAAGUUUACCAGGACCGAGUUCGUUAUGAAAUGUAACACGAUUUUUAUGCAAGCUUCUUGUGGCCUAAAAUAUGUCGUGGUAACUAAUAUAAGAAGUAUGAGGUGUUUCAUUUCUUUUGAUUCUAAAUGAUUAUGAAUGGAGUAGCAGACUACGUUGCAUGGAAUCGCUAGUCAAGCUCUGAUUCCCGACUCGGUGAUAUCGCCUGGAGCGGAAACGGAAGCGGUGGGAAUCGCCUGGAAUCGCAACAGAAGAAAUGAUGACUAAAAAAUGUGGAGGAAACGUAAGAUUCUGAUUUGGAAGCGGUUGAUUGUUAGUCAAAAGCGUAAUCUGUACUUUUCAUGACCGACAUAUUUGUUCGUUUUAGUUCCAUUUUCUUAGUUUUUAAAUAAUUCUGGCCCAGUUUCAUUUACUCAUCUAAGUCCAAUAUGUUUUUUUUCUCUCACAUUAUUAGAAUUAAAAUUUUAUAAAAUUAUUAUUGUGAACGGCCACGGAUUAAGCAAGAAGACAAUAGAGAACAAAACAUAUUGAGGCAAAUACCCGUUUAGGAUUUCUUAUUAUUGUGUGAAUCAAUAAUUUUACACACCCUUAGACCCAUAUUUAUAGCAGCCGAGAAACCCGAUUUCCUUUGUCCUUUAGGAAUACAUACUUAUCUAGAAAAAAAAAAUUUCCUAAACCUAAAAGGCAUACUGACUGCGGUCGAAGGCCCCCGCACCCCCAGAUGUCAACCUUGAUAGCGAGUUUAUCUUCCUUGUGCCUACGACCCAUGAUUGCUGGGCUUUUACUAGUGCACAGAGAUUUAAUACACGCAGACGUAACAAUUAUAUAACUAAAACAUAAUAUAAAAAUAUAUUUAGUGUUACAAUAUUAAUUAAUAAAUAACUUUGAUUAACUAAUAGUAAUUUUUUUAUUGGGAAGACCUUAGUAAUAAAGAACUAUGCUUGCAAAUAAAGUUUUUUUAUAGAGCUUGCAAAUAUAGUUUAAAAAACAUUAGAGGUGAUACACUUAAUAUAUUAGAUUAGCUAUUGAAAACUUAGGUUUUAAGAAAAAGAGAUUUAGUUGUAAAUAACAUUGACAGAGUUGGUGAAAACAGAAUCGUUUGGAAACGUAGGUUUUAAAUUGAAGUUAUAUUUAAUAAACUACAAUUCACAAGCAUCACUGGCAGACCCGACUUGAUUCGGCUCACAUCACUGGCAGACCAGACUUUUUUUUAAAUUGUAGUUAUAUUGAUGUAAAAAUUAGGGUCAUAAUCUAUAUUUUUUUAGCAAAUCAAGACCAUAUGGGGAUGUGACCAUAAGAUAAUGGUUGCAUGUGGAAUCAUUGUAGCCUAGUGGUUAAGGUUUAAAGGUUUCGACAUCCAUGUCUGAGAUUCGAAUAUCAAACUAUGCAUUUUCUUCCAGAUUACAUAUUAGGAGGUCCAGGUUUCAAUUCUGGAUGCAGACUACGGAAGAAAGGCGUACAAGAGAUCUUCAACAUGGUGCAAGUAAAUCCGGCUAGACGUGGUUCUUCAUAAAACGGCUUAGGUGAUGUCGUUAAACGUAGAUCCUCAUAUGGCAUGUAGUAUUAUCGGUUGUUGAAUCAUCUAUGUAACCUUUUUCAUAAUUGUAAUAUCAUAAUUGAAAUGGAUAAGACAAUACCAGAGCUGCGAGACGUUCUUGAACCUCAUCAGAGAUUUAGCAGACAAACAUUAUAUCACAUAAACUUAUAUGUUAUUAUAAUAUUUUGAUAUAGCUUAUAGUUUCCUGAAAAAAGAAAUACAUUAUGCUUUACCCCAGGUUCCAGAGUAGUGCUAAAACGGGUGGUGUAUCAAGGCUUCUUGAAAAGUAUAUCCCAUCAAGUUUGGCCGUCCAUACACGUAUCUGGCCACACGUAGGAAUAAAUCUAUGUCCUGCUCUGUAUACUUCAACUUUAUAAAAAUAUUCCAUGUUAGCUCCAUGCUUUAACAUACAAUCCCAUGUUGUUAUCAAAAACCAAUCGUCAUGGAACUCGAUGACAUAAGGAGUAGCAUUGAAGUUUAAGUUCUUGACGCCUAAAUCAUUGUUUACGGAAUAACAAUGGAACUCGAGAGGUCUACCAGGACCGAGUUCGUUAUGAAGUAGAACACGAUUUUUUACGCAAGCUUCAUGUGGCUUAAAGUAUGCAGUAACUAAUAUAAAAAGUACGAGAUGUUUCAUUUGAUCUAAAUGAUUAUGAGUGGACUACACAGGCAUUGUUGUGUAGUAUUUAUAAAAAAAAAAUUCUGUGAAAGGUCUUUUAUUUAAACUACUAAAUAAUAUAUUACCUUAUUAUUUAAUUUCUUUCACAAAUAUGUCUUGACCAUAUCAUUUUUAAUCGUGUUUCAAGAUUCUCUCCUAAAAUAAGUCUGACAAGUUGAUAAGUAUCUUUUUAAGUCUUGUUUUUCUUAGAAAAAUAAUAUUUUAAAGAUUUUUUCUUAAACAAGUUUUAAGAUUUUAAAAAAAGUUUUAAGAUUUACCAUGUGGAACCAAUAUCUAUAUAUAAAGUUAACUUUUUAUCUUCUUAUAAUAAGUGACAUGAGGGUUUGAUGACACAUGUCUCAAACGAAUUGUUUUUUACAUAUUAUGUUCUUUUUCUUUUAAAAUAUUGCAAUUUGGUUCAAUAUUUUCUAAUUGUGCACUAUUUCAACUUUUUCACACUAAUUAUAAUUAUAUGAAGUUUAUGAAUCUGUUUUAUUGGUCAUUAAAAUUCAAGAAGAAUAAAAGCAUAUAUAAAAUAAUAUAAAAAUAUUUUAAAUAUUUAUUUUAUUAAAGCCAUUGAUGCAAAGUCCUGUUCUUGUAGCCUUGUAGACCCGUGAGGCUUUUCCAACUCGAUUCCUUGCCAUGCUUGUGGUACUAAGACCCAAUACUCCGAGUUUGUCAUCUUAAAAUAUAUGAACAUGUAACAAUAUUACAGACGACUAUGUAUUGAUCACGAACAGGAUCGUGUCUCAAAAAGUAUGCAAACUAAAAAUAUUCUUCUUGAACAAAAGUGUUGGAUUUAAGAGCGGGUUACGGGUAGGGUUAUGCUUUGUUUCAUAUCGGGAUUAUAGAUAAAUAUUUCUCCACAAACAAUGUACAAAACCCAGCCCCCAAGAACAACCAUGUUCCAAAAUAUUAAAAUGACUUCAAAAUAAAGAAAAAAUUCAAAAAAAAAUUUAUGUUUAAAUAAUAAGAAAACAAGUAUAGUAAGUUUAAUAUAAUAUAACCAUGAAAAAAACAAAUUAAAACUAAAAUAAUAACAAAAUAAUCACAUUAAUGGUCUAAUUGGUAUUCUCGCUACUGCCCGCAAACACAACUUUUGCGGUUGGUAAAGGUUGUUGGCAUUUUGCAACAGUCACAAAAACAUAUAAUCAUUUCAAAUCGCUCCAAAUCUCUUAAAAUGAAAAGUUGGUUCGCAUUCGCAGUUGCGGACGGUUGCAGAUGGAUAAAUAAUUAUAAAACUAUUUCUAAAAAUAUAUUAAAAUUGAAAGAUUAUAGUUAUAUAUAUAUUAUAUUAUAUUUAAAUUUAAAUUCACUAAUAAUAUCACAAUUUAUUUUAUAUAAAAUUUAAACCAAUAAUGUUCAUUAUAAUUGUUUAAACAUUAAUAUGAAUAUACAGUAUAUAAAUAUAAAUAAAUAUAUAAGCGAAAACAAAAUAUUCUUUCAAAAGUUAUAAUAUAAAUCAUCAAAACUAAUUUUGAAAUUAUAAAUUUCAUCUAAAUAAAAAUGAAAAUAUAAAUAUAAUAAUUUAUUAAUUAUAUUAUGUCAACUAAGUUAUAACCCGAACCUUGUGCUGGAUGAACAUUAUAUAUAUCAUUUUAUGUAUUAUAUAUAUUUUACAUAUUAUGAAAUAAAAAUACAUAUUGAACAAUUAAAAAGUCAUUAAAUAUUACAUCUAUAAUUAAAUUGGUGCGAACAUAUAAAUACAUUUUAUUAAUCCAAACAACAUUUUUUUAUAUUUGAUAUAGUAUAUAAUUAAAUAUAAAUGAUAUUUACAUACAUAUAUAGUAUAUUUCAUAUUAGUAUCUAUUAAAUGAUGCUUUCUAUUUAUAUGGUUUUUUUAUCAUUUGUAUAUUUUAUAACAAAAACUAUAAAUUGCUGAUAACAAAAAUUUUAUUGUGGGAUUAAUAGUUUUAGUAUUUUAUAUUUUUUAAAAAUUAAACUGUCAAUAUUUGUUCAAAGCUUCUAUCAAAAAGAAAUUGUUGAAAGUAAAUUUAUAAAUUAAAAUAUUUUUAUAUUUUAUAUGGUUUCUACUUAUAUGAUUUUUUAAUCAUUUGAAUCUUGUCAUAACAAAAAUAUUUAAACCAUGGAUCACAAAAUUUGAAUGUGAGACUUUUAACAGUUUUAGUAAUUUAUAGUAAUUUUAAAAAAAUUAAAAUAUAACAUAAACAGAAAAAUCUAAUUUUUAUUAUAUGUUUAAUAUGGUUGUUUAAUUUAUUUUAUUAGUUUAUAAUUAAAAAAUAUGAUAGAAGAUACAAUAAUUUUAUCAAAUCUUUAUUAUUUAAAAUCAUUAUUGUCAUAUAUACUUUAGCCACAUUAGGCAAUUCCGUAACUUUUAUUUAAGUAAAUAAGAAAACAUUAAUAAUGAGUUUAUGGUUAGUUUAUUUUUUUUAUCAACAUGGUUACUUUAAGAAAAAAAGUUUAUAAUAUAUUUAGAUAUAUCAACUUAUUUCUCUAAGGAUUCUAAAAAUCAUUUUGGGAAUGACACGUGACUACCAAAAAUUGUUGUAAUGCUUCUCAAAUAAUAUAUAAGAGAUAAUCAUUAUAUUUUAUCACAAUAGUAUGCUUUAAAUAUUUUAUAAUGUUAUUGUGUUAAUGUUGAUAAUUUCUUAUUAAACCGCUAUAAUAUCUCUUAAUCAACCAGUCACAAAUUUUCUAAAUUUUCCGCAAAGGCACCAAUUUAUAAUCGAUGUACCAGUCGUAUAAAUCGUUUAAUAACACUAUAAACCGCAUCACCCACAUCCACAAACUCCUGCAAUCACACCCACAACCAAUACAUUUUAAUCAUUCAGCCCUUAAGUUGAAUAUAUAACUUUAUUCUGAUGUAACAUACAAAAACAUAAAAAAAAUUGGUGAAAAAAAUUCUUACCAAAUUUGGUAAUUUUCAUAGUAGACUUCUCUGGAAGUCUUUUUGCAGAAGUCUUCUCCAAAAGUUUUCUGAAGAAGUCUUCUCCAAAAGUCUUCUGAAGAAGUCUGCUAAUGAAGUUUGAAGGUCGAUAUUGUCCUCAGAAUUUGAAAACAUGCAUAUCCAAAACAUUAAAAUGGCUUCAAAGAAGAAAAAACUUCAGAAAUGUUUUUUAUGUUAAAAUAAUACAUAAAACAAUCUUGUUAGUUUGAAUCUACAGUUUUUCGAAUCUAACAUAUAAACACACACAAAAAUCGAUAUCUAAAAUUUAUAGAUCUACAUUUAAAGUAGUGGAAGAUGAAAACUAUAAAUGAAAAACCUGCAAAAAACAAGAUAAAGUAGUAAGAAAAACAUGAGAGAAAUAGAUGAGAAAUUGAUUUAAAGUUUGUUGUCUUCAAGUUAAAAAGACUAGACAGAGGUUGGAGAAUUUAGAGUAAAAAACAUUAUAUUUUUGUUGUAGUUAUUUGAGAAGAAGAUACAUAAUGUGUAAAAAACAUUAUAUAAGGAGGCCAAAAUUCUAACUAGGAUAAAUAUUUUUGGUUCAGAGCUUCUAGAGAAGUCUUCUAGAUCCUAAAUUUAAUAUUCAUCCCGUAAGACUUCCCAAGAACUUUUCUAAUGCAUCAUAUGUUAGAAAAUUUUCCAAGAAGUCUUUUAAACCUUUAAAUCAAAUAACUAAUUAAAUAACAACAAACACUUCAUUAACCAUAAUAUCAACUUAUAACAUAUGUAAUAUAUACAAAAUAAGCACAUAUAUGUCAGAUUUAUUUUAUUUUUAAAAGAAUUUAGAUUCUAAAAUCUAACUCUAAAAGUACAAACAAUAAUACGUUACCAAACCCUAAACC